CCUACGGGAGGCUGCAGUGAGGACUAUUGGUCAAUGGGCGCGAGCCUGAACCAGCCAAGUCGCGUGAAGGAUGACUGCCCUACGGGUUGUAAACCUCUUUUAUAAAGGAAUAAAGUGAGGCACGUGUGCCUUUUUGUAUGUACUUUAUGAAUAAGGAUCGGCUAACUCCGUGCCAGCAGCCGCGGUAAUACGGAGGAUCCGAGCGUUAUCCGGAUUUAUUGGGUUUAAAGGGGGCGUAGAUGGGUUGUUAAGUCAGUUGUGAAAGUUUGCGGCUCAACCGUAAAAUUGCAAUUGAUACGGGCAGUCUGGAGAACAGUUGAGGUAGGCGGAAUUCGUGGUGUAGCGUGUAAAUGCUUAGAUAUUACGAAGAACUCCGAUUGCGAAGGCAGCUUACUAAACUGCACUGACAUUGAUGCUCGAAAGUGUGGGUAUCAAACAGGAUUAGAUACCCUUGUAGUC
rnacentral:rRNA from 1 species